UACGAAGGGGGCUAGCGUUGCUCGGAAUCACUGGGCGUAAAGCGCACGUAGGCGGGUCGUGAAGUCAGGGGUGAAAUCCUGGAGCUCAACUCCAGAACUGCCCUUGAUACUGGCGAUCUCGAGUUCGGGAGAGGUGAGUGGAACUGCGAGUGUAGAGGUGAAAUUCGUAGAUAUUCGCAAGAACACCAGUGGCGAAGGCGGCUCACUGGCCCGAUACUGACGCUGAGGUGCGAAAGCGUGGGGAGCAAACGGG
rnacentral:rRNA from 1 species